rnacentral:tmRNA from 1 species
GGGGAUGACUAGGUUUCGACUGGAAUAGUCGGGGCUAUGUGCAUGUCGGACUGGGCAACUCCGUUAUACGGCUCAAAAUGCAUAACUGCAAACAAUACAGAUUACCGUCCAGCUUACGCCGUAGCGUAAGUAAACCCCGAGCGAUCGGAGGACUGCCUUACCGAGGAGUUCCAUCUUACUCGGAAUCCAUUAAUUUGGGAGUGUUUUUGCACUUUGGGCAUCACAUCUGAUGGAUAUGCUCUAUGGAAGCUAUGCCAUAGAGUGAGAAUUUUAGCUGGUCUUGUAUAGCUUUGGGUGUUGUGCGAAGCAAGAUAAGAUGAAACAUCACCGACUAAACAUGUAGAGUCAUAGUUCUAGCUAUUUUAGGACAGGGGUUCAAUUCCCCUCGUCUCCACCA